rnacentral:misc_RNA from 1 species
CCACCCUCAGGCGCUGCCUGGUGUUGGGGGCCUGCGCCUGCAGCCCCCGAAAGCCAACGGCGGUCCCGGUCCCGGCCCCGAGCGUAGUAGCAUACGUCGCUCCGGGCGCCGGGCGGGCGCCAGCCGCAACCCACCAUCGCAA